GUGUGCUCUUCUGAGCUAGGAAAGAGUGCAGCAGUGAAGUGGUGGAGGGGCUGGUAUGUGCUCCGCCGCUUCCUCCUGGACACAUAUUUGUAGAGACACCUCAGAUGAUCAGACUCUAUUUGCUGUAGCACCCUAGCAGGGAAUUCCUCAGCUGGUGCAGAAGAGCUUGAACUUAACUGGGGGUUGGUUCUGCAGGCGAUGCGUUCAGGGUCAGCCGGAAAGCGCAGCGUCGAAAAACGAUGGUGACUGUUGUUAGCGCUGCGUUUAAUGAGACGCGGGAAGAGACGCAGAGAAAGUAAAAAAAAAAAAAAAA